UUGAUAGGAUGCAGGUGUACAGGCAGCGAUGUCAUAGCCGAGCAUUACUAAUUGCCCGUUCACUUUUUGCCU
rnacentral:rRNA from 1 species